rnacentral:snRNA from 1 species
GUGUUUGAUUCAGUACCACACAUACUAAAAUCAUAAUGACACAGAAAGAUACAGGGUCUCUAUGCAAGGAUGACACACAGGCUCAUGAAAGGUUUUGUAUUAUU